CCUCGAAGCGUUUUAAUCCGCUACGAUGACGCACUUUUGAGUGCUUGACCAACCCACACAAGUGAUCGCUUUUAUGGACUGAGUCACAUGUUGCGCAACAGCUGUGAAAUAGGAGCAUAGCUUGUUUUUCAUGAUCCAAAAAUAUCAGCAGAAGACUGAAGUACGGAGGAAAGUUGAAAUGGACUGAGUUAAUCUUAUUCAGUAACGACCUAGCGCUUAGAUGACAACGAAUCAAGACCAGAUGGCGAGCCAGAGCCACAGGGCAGAGUAGCGUCAGGACAACUUUCGCCACCAGAGGGAGCUCAGCUGGUCUAGAUCAGAGCAAGCCAAAGAUGAAUGUCCCAACAGCUGCAGAGAAAGAAAGAGGGCUCACGAGCAGAGAGUAUCAGGGGUCUUCACCAUAUCAGAGUCAUGAAGGGGGCAUUUGGUUUGUAUGGGUAGAGGCGUGGCCCGUGGAAAAGUCGUCCCCAUAUCCGCUUAAAUCCAUUAGGUCUGUCCUGAGAAGCAAUCCACAUGCGAAGGGUUUUUCGGAGUUGAAGUUCCUCUGCGUCUGUCCCUACACGACACAACUACCUCUACUGCACCCCCACUGCGUCAGUCCGACAUAUGAUGCCAGGGCAGCUGCGUAUUGCCUGCCGGCCCUGGUCACAUUUAGAGGCGAUAGAACCAAAAGGGAUUCCAGGAUGUUGUGUGGACCCUUUUAAAGUCAAAUUGUUGACUCCUCUGUAACGAUUCUUACAAAGCUACAAGGAAAGCCUCUACUUUGAUGGGAUUUAGGAAGGUACCUCAUUGAAUUUAAGUCGUGUUUGGAAUUGUGAACCAUAUACUUGCAAACACAUUUUCCAGUAUUGAAUGUUGGGGA
ensembl:lncRNA